GGUCUGGUGCUGUGUGGAAGACUAGUGAUUUUGUUGUUCUGAUGUACUAUGACAACAAGUCACAGCCGGCCUCACAGCGCAGACU
rnacentral:pre_miRNA from 1 species